AUUUUCGUGCAUUGGGCCUCUAGGAGGUCAAUAAUAUAACAGUAUGAGCUACAGAUCACAACCUAAAUAGUGUCACAAAUUCAAAUCUUCGGGCCAGUUCUCUGAGUUUCAUAUCCACUUCAUUGUCUCCCAGUUGGUAUCACAAAGGCACUUCAAUAUAAUAUGUUAAAAACCCAAUUCAUGUCCCUCCCCUCCCUAAACCCAAACCCAGUUCUCUUGUAUGCUCAUCUCAUGUGAAUUGGCACCAUCCUUCUAUCCAGUUGCACACACAAUAAAUCUUGGACUCAUCCUUAGUACCUAUCUCAAUUUAGAUUGAAUCCCUAAAAAGUUCUCAUGUCUGUCCAUUUUCUUCCGUUUUGCUGGUAUUCUUUCCCUGGGUCUUCUCAAGUACUUGCUCUGAUGGAGAGGGCCGCCUCCAAACCACAGCCAGCUAAGAACUGAGGCCCUGGGUACAACAGUCCAGGAAAAGUCCUGCCCAACUGUUAAGUGAGCUUGGAAGUGGUUCCGCCUCAGAGCCUGGAAACCGUUUCUUGAAGCCCCAGCGAAGUUUCUCCUGUGAAAAGGGAGUAACGUCAGGCCUGGGUCUCCAAACAGAUUUACACCUCUCUGGGAAGGUGACCUUGGAGCUGCCUUCUCGCAGCACUGUUUCCUUGGCAACUACCAUGUGCGGCUAGAGAAGAAUGCUUUGUGCUGGAAGCUGAUUGUCUGCCUUAUCUGCUCCGAAAUCCCCCAUCUGCGGAACUGCACCUGCACAGAGAGCGGUGAGCUGGCCCCCGGAUAAACACUGCUGAGACUCCUGGCCAGUGCAUCCGUGCACCCCAUCUUCCUUCGCACCUGUACAGGCCACGGGUGGGUCAGGCGGGCCAAGAAGCCAGUAUACCUGGGUAGAGCCCCUGAGCCUCCUGAUGACAUGACAAAACUGUACACUCAGUUUGCCUGUCUUGUAUCCCUCUCUAAGAUUAAUACAUGAAGUAUUAGAAUAAAGUCUAUUGUAUCUUACAAAUUUGA